rnacentral:rRNA from 1 species
CCUACGGGGAGCAGCAGUGGGGGAUAUUGCACAAUGGGGGAAACCCUGAUGCAGCGACGCCGCGUGUGGGAAGACGGUCCUCUGGAUUGUAAACCACUGUCCCCAGGGACGAAGAUGACGGUACCUGGGGAGGAAGCUCCGGCUAACUACGUGCCAGCAGCCGCGGUAUUACGUAGGGGGCGAGCGUUGUCCGGAAUUACUGGGUGUAAAGGGAGCGUAGGCGGGACUGCAAGUUGGGGGUAAAAUCUACCGGCUCAACCGGUGGCCGCACUUAAAACUGCAGUUCUUGAGUGAAGGAGAGGCAGGCGGAAUUCCUGGUGUAGCGGUGAAAUGCGUAGAUAUUAGGAGGAACACCAGUGGCGAAGGCGGCCUGCUGGGCUUUUACUGACGCUGAGGCUCGAAAGUGUGGGGAGCGAACAGGAUUAGAUACCCGAGUAGUC